GGGCCAACUGGUGUUUCUGUAGGAGGAAAGUCAGUCAGUCACCACUCCCUGGGACUGUGCAGAUCCAAUCCUGCUGUAUGCCAAGAACCGCAAA